UAUUUCCAUUUCAUUUAUUAAGGAAGUUACAUGUUAACCAUAUAUGUUAUGAUUAUGUUAUCUACACCAGGCUCAUCAUUAAAAUGAGAGCAGGUGAUUGUCAUAUUAAUAGUAAGUUAAUCAAACGUAGGAAGCGACCAAAGAAAGCAAAUUCAGGACUAUGCCAGGGAGAAAGUUAAGCAGUGAUUUCGUUCUCAACAUUAAUUGUCACAUCAAAAACUUUUAGGGUCAUUUAAAAAGAGUUAUGGUAUGUGCAAUUAGCAUACUUACUGUUCAAACUAAACACUGUACUGUUGUAUACUGUGUAUGCACUUCAGUAUUGGUUCAUUUAAAAAGAAACAGAACAUACCAUAUUUUUAGGUACAAUUACUCAAAUAUAUAAUGAUGAACAUAUAUUCUCUCAAGAUCACCCUUUCAUAUAAAAGCUGAAGACACUCAUUUGAUGAUUGCUGUGAAUAGUAUUAAUAACUUGGAUAAUCUGUACUCUAAGUUAAACAUCUUAUCCAGUACCCUGCUUAAAGAAUGGUAUAUUUUCCAUAAUAUAAGAAAACAACAGAUACUCAUUCUUACCAAUCUUUUAAAGCAACGCAUAAAACCUCUGUUUCUAAUCAAACAUGAAGUCCCUUUGCAUCAUUGUCGAGUGAUUAAUUAUUACACAUAUUAUAGAUAAAAAGGGAGGCAAGCAUAAUUGUGCUAUCCUCUCUGAUAUAAAAAUAAAGGCUUACAAAACCUAAACAUAAAUACUUGCAAAAUGGAUAAAUAAAUAUUGUUUUUUUUCUUUUUCAUUUAUAUUUUCUUAUUUUCAGUUUCUUUUUUUAAUUCCAGUUACAUUUUAGCAGCUACUAGGUCAGAAAAAUCAUUACAAAAAAAUAUAAUUACAAAAUGCAGUUUAAGAAGAAAAAUAGUAUUAGUUUUUUCACCAAACCAGGAAUUGUGAACAAAUAACCAGGGGAUUAAAAUCAAAAUAUAACUGUUAGAGAAUUUCUCCAAUUUGUCAUUUUGGCUCAAUUAGUAUUCUCUUUGAUUGUAAUUCAUUUCCUGGGUUAGUGAUUAAACUCCCUUAAGUUAUUAUCUGGUUUGUGGCUUACAUGACAGAUUGGCUGAGGAAUUGAAGUGGGUUAACUUACGGUAUGAGAAAAAUUGACUUUCUUUUGGAUACAUAUGUGAGUACAAAGAGAUAGUACUGGAGGAAAACCAUAUUAUUGGUAAAAAAAAAGUGUUGGCCUACAUCUCCAACACCAGAAAAAAGCAGGUUGGCUGUCUUUUAUGUCUUAAAAAAGUGGGCCAAAUUUAUUGAGGUGAUACAUGUAAACUUAUAUAGUUCUAUAGCGUUGCUUAUUAACGUUACGUCUCUUGUUGACUUCAGUGAGAGACAGAGGAUUGUCUAAGAUAUCCAAGUGAUGACCUGGCUGAAGAGGAAAUCGUAGGAUUUGUUAUAGGAGAGAUACUCUCUUAGAGAAGUCUAUCUUUUUGUUACUGAUGAGGAAAGGCUUAGCACAAGGAGGUUUAUUCAUUAUAAGCAGUCAUAGGAGGGAAUGGGGUAGGCAAAAAGGUCUAUGGGCAUGAAGAGGAGGGAAUGAGUUGAAUAAUCAGUUGGCUGUGGUUGGAGAAGAGCGAGGGGAUAGGUUAUAAGGUGAAUGAAAUGAGAGAGGAGGGAAUCGUUGUGGCAGUAAAGGGACUGGGCAAGGAGGACGGUGGAGAGGGUCUGGGAAAAGCAAGGAUAGAUC